ensembl:antisense 1700026D11Rik RIKEN cDNA 1700026D11 gene
AGAGCCCCAACCAGACUGUCUUGCGAAUCUGGACAAGAUGGCCCUUCUUGAGUCAGUCUGGACUCCAGACUGAGGUGCACUAAAGCCAAGAGAGAGCGGGCUCCGGCAUCUACCGUAUCUCUUCCUACACAGUGUAAGCAGAGAAUGCCAGUUGGAAUCCUUUUGUUUCUUCUUCUUGCCAACUUUCUUCCUAGAACGUCCAACUCACUGUUGAAUAGAAAUAUCUCUCGAAGGUGGUAUCCUCGUCUUCCUGUUCAUCUGUGGGCUUUCAUGGGUGUCCUCUAUCGGCAGGAGGUGUGUUCUCUUUUUGGUCCUCCCUCAACAACUGUUUUCCUUAUGAAGAGGCACUAGAUUUAUGUACCCCAUACUUUUUCUGUGUCUAUUGGGAUGGCCAUGUGUUUUUUAAACAUUUAUCUC